rnacentral:tRNA from 1 species
GCUCCCAUAGUUUAAUGGCAAAACAAAGCAAUGGUAAUGCUUAGAUCCAAGUUCGAUUCUCGGUGGGAGCACCA